rnacentral:rRNA from 1 species
GACGAACGCUGGCGGCGUGCUUAACACAUGCAAGUCGAACGGAAAGGCCCUGCUUUUGUGGGGUGCUCGAGUGGCGAACGGGUGAGUAACACGUGAGUAACCUGCCCUUGACUUUGGGAUAACUUCAGGAAACUGGGGCUAAUACCGGAUAGGAGCUCCUGCUGCAUGGUGGGGGUUGGAAAGUUUCGGCGGUUGGGGAUGGACUCGCGGCUUAUCAGCUUGUUGGUGGGGUAGUGGCUUACCAAGGCUUUGACGGGUAGCCGGCCUGAGAGGGUGACCGGCCACAGUGGGAGUGAGAUAAGGCCCAGAGGCCUACGGGAGGCAGCAGUGGGGAAUAUUGCACAAGGGGCGGAAGCCUGAUGCAGCAACGCCGCGGGCGGGAUGACGGCCGUCGGGUUGUAAACCGCUUUCGCCUGUGACGAAGCGUGAGUGACGGUAAUGGGUAAAGAAGCACCGGCUAACUACGUG